AAAGAUCAAACAUUAAUGGGCUAAAAGAAAAAUGCCGCAAAAGGUCCAUUUUAUUUUAAUCAAAACGCUAUUAUUUUGGUAUGCUCAGUUUUAUCCCAAGUCAUCCCUGAAAUCCCUUACUUUUUUCCCCCUAAAAUUUUUUCCCAAAUCCCUAAUUCCCCAAAUCUUCAUCCCCGAAUCCUCUUGCUUCCCCUUCCCCUUUCUUUUUCCUUCCCCAUGGUAUUCUGCUUCUUUGUUUCCUCUAUUUUCUUCUGAAUUCUCGGCUUCUGCUUCUGUCCUCCUUUCUCUUUUCUGCUUUUCUUCUGGCUUUAUAUUUCAAUCCAUAAUAGUCGAUUCUGUCAUAUGAUCGUCGCACCAUUCCGGAUGUAGCUUCCUCAUAGCCAGUCACGCCUCUUCAAUAUUGAGAUCGUCAGUUCGAAGCCUGUAAAUUAAAGAGCUAAAUGUCAUGUCCCUUUUCUUGAUUGAAAGUUUGGGUUUAUUAAGUUUUGAGUUGUCUCACUUUUUUUUUUUUAUUUCUCUCCUGUUUCGAACUACAGAGAGAGUUUCUUUUUCUUUUUUUUUAUUCGAUCUUUUCCCUCUCUUUCUCUCUUGUUUUGAUUCAAAUGGGAUUUCUUAAAUCUGAUAUGUUUUGUGUUGUAUUUUUUAAAUUUAAUAGAUGUUGGUUUGAAGCAGGCUCGCAACCAUUCAACCAAGUUUUGAGUUACAAAGUUAAGAUAUUUAAAAUACAAGCUAAGGCGAACUCCAACCAAAAUCUAAAAAAUUCCCAAAAGUGUCGUCUCAAGCUCUAAGCCUCUCACCAGUCAGGCAGUCACCGGCAAGCACCAACAAGGCACCGUCGACCGCCGGCCCGUAAAAUUCUCAUUUGACUGUUUUGAAAGCUUACAAGAGACUUCCUUGAAAUGAGAAUAUAUAUCGAUCUUGUGAAAAAUAAAGUGACAAUGCUCCAUCGAGGUCUAUUCCAUCAUUAUAUAGUCAAAGAAGUGAAGCAGAACUAGUAAAUCAAGUUGUCUGGAAUUGUUAUUGAAAUUUUAAUUUGCUUGGAAUUUUUAUGUUAAAAUUGUUAGUAAUAUUUUAUUUUUUGUGAAAUUGUUAUGUUUAGUUUGUUUGAAUUAUUAUCUAGCUUUUUUUGUUAAUUUAUUUUAGAAUUGUUUAAA